AAAACGAAUUCUUUUAUUAUUCGAAUUAUUAAUUAUAUAUCAUUUGACACACAUUGUAAAAAACAUUUGGAAGGUCUACGUAUAUGUGUAUAUGUGUGUGUAUAUGCAUGUAAUAAGAAGCUGUGUGUAUAUGUGACUAAUAAUUAUUUUAGUUAAUUAUUUAAUUAAAACAAAAGUUAUUAACUUUUAUGGCCCCAAUUAAUAAAGUUUAUCAUAACUAACAUAUUGUCAGAUUUGAUAUUAUAUUUUAUCGUGAUAAUAAUAAUAGGAAAAUAUUAAUUUAUUUCUUUGAUAUGAUUGGUGGUAGUGGAGACGGGGUCCACAUACCUUCCGUGCUAUUGGUGGAAAUGCCAUUUUGAGUGGGCUCCUUCUAACUGGUAACACGGUGUAUCGUCGUUCUCAUAAUUUCAGCUUUUAAGAAUUCUACGUAUCCAGAUAAAGUCUAACACACGUACACAAAUACACACGCAGAGGAUACGAUAACUUUUUCUACCUAUAGCUGUCCCCUCCUGUGUUUACAUACAAACUAUCAUUGCAAUUGUCCUUGAAGCAAUGAAUUAAUGGAAUAUUAUCACGUUAAAAUAUAAACAAUAAAAUCAGUGAAUUAGAAACAGUGUUUGUUGUAAUUUAAAUUAAUUUGCGUUUCACGAUUAAAAAUAAUUUUUAAGAAUAUGCGUAUUCAAGUUGACUGUAUGCAAAACAGAUUUGAAGAUAAGAAUUUUAUCGGGGAAAAAAAAAAAAAAAAAAAAAAAAAAGAAAAGAAGAAAGGAAAAAAGAAAAAGUAGAAACUGGUCUAAAGAGGAAACGAGCCGACAAAUCGGAUUCACGAGAUGCCGGACAUUGCAACGAUACGACGCCGGAGGUGGUCCAAGAACUUCUAAUUUCGUAUUUCUGAAAGUACGAGAAAUAAAUACUUAUCUCUCAAGAGAUUUCAAUCUUUGUUUCUGUUAAAGGGAAUUUAUUAAGAGUGGACGUUUUAAUUAUGUGAGUUCUACCCGUCUGUCGAUGACAUCGGUCAGGUCCUCAUGAUGACGUAAUCCUGGACUCGAUAUAAAUCGAGCACGUUCUCGGAUACAUGGUGGGUGGUAAAGGAGGAGGAAGGAGGAGGAAAAGGAGGAGGAGGAGGAGGAGGAGGAUAAUAGGUGGUGAACGCACGAGGGUUCAUAAGUGGGAGAUAUAGGAAGGAAGGGGGGAGAGAAGGUCGAUGCACAAUGAGUUAUUUCGAGUUACUUAGCUCAUCGACCUGAAUAAAUACGAUGUCGAAGAAUUUCACAUGUUUCUAUUCAAUAAUAUUUGAUAAAUUUUGAUAAAGUGUCAUUAAGUUGAUUAAUAAUAAAAAUAACACCUCCUUACUCCUGGCUCUAAAAUUAAUAACAAUAAUGAUAAUGAUAAUGAUAAUAAUGAUAAUGAUAAUGAUAAUGAUAAUGAUAUUUAUUAAAUGAAUUACAACCCUUAGGUAUGGUAACAUAAAAGGGUACAAUAAUGAACAGGAAAAACAAAACAAAAAAAAAAGAGAGAGAGAAAAUAUUGAUAAAUAUCAAU